GUGUCAUUAAAUUAACCCACUCUUUCUUCUACAAACCUAAAUUCGGCUGGAAACCCAGUUUUUACUUCCGUUACUGCUGCUUGAUAAAAAGAACCCACUCUUUCUUCUUCCAAUUUCUGCCUCUAAAAAUUUAUCAUUUUUGUUCGAAAAAUCUCAAAUCUACAUAAAAAAAACCCAAUUUCUACAAACUUAAUUUCUGCUGCUUCAUCAAAAACUCUCUCAACACCAAUGUAUGAUUUUUGUUCGAAAAUUCUCAAUUCAAAAAAACCUCUGAAUUGUCAAUUAUUUGCAGAUAUUUUUAGUCUAAGUCUUUGUUGCAUCAUGGAUUCGAGAAGGCUGUUGAUGUGGCCGUGAAUAUGGUGAAUGGAUUCGAGAAGGCUUAAAAUCUUCCGAUUGAAGAUUUUUUCCCUCAAGUUGCAGUCUCCACAAUAAAUACUGCUUUUUAUACCAGAUGAAUAUGCUAGGUGAAUUCUUCUAAGUUUUGACUAUAUCUGCAAAUCCUGUUAUCAAGACUAAUUCACUCAUUAUCAAAUUUUGUAUGAAGCUUUCACGCCAGAACAUUUACACUUGAUUCAAGUAAUUUCCAAUUCAUCUUAAGUUUUCAUGCAAUCGUUUACAAUCUCAUUUGGUGGAAGCGAUGGACGAAAUUGCACUGUGCUUAUGUUUGUUGGCUCAUGUAAUGAGUUGGAAAAGAAUUUUCUUUGUUCAGUUUCAUGGAACGAAAUGAUGGAUAAGAUUUUAAUACCAAUUUGUGUGUUGUUACUUUUUUACUUUGUAUCCUAUUUGAUGCGUACGUUAUUGAUUAAAUUCAUUAUAAGCAGAUAAUUUAGAUUUCUGAUUAGGGUUUUUCUGUGUUUUUCAUUUUUAUCAUUAAUCAAUGAAUAGGUCUCCUAUAUAUACAUGUUUAAUCACUAAGCUAAUUAUAGAAGUACAGUAAAAAUGGCUAACAAUCAGCCUAGAAUAAUCUGUUGCCUAGAAUAAGAGAUCUCCUAAAUAUUCUAUAAUAUUCAUAAAUAUUCUAUAAUAUUCAUAUAUUCAGUUUCCUACACUCCCCUCAAGUUAGGUCAUAGGGUCUCCAAUGCCUAACUUGCAUAGAGCUUCUUCAAAUGCUUCAGCUGUAACAGCUUUUGUGAGGAUAUCUGCAAGUUGAUCUUUAGAUCGAACCAGAGGGAGGCUGAUGAUCUGAUUUUCAAGUUUCUCUUUGAUAAAGUGUCGAUCAACCUCAACAUGUUUUGUUCGAUCUUGUUGUACUGGAUUAUUGGAAAUGCUACAGAUGCCUGGUUAUCACAAAUCAAUCUGCAUGCUCCUUUAGGUGGAAAGCCUAGUUCGCAUAGGAGUUUUCUGAGCCACAGGAUUUCUGUUACCCCUUUAGCUAUCCCUCUAAACUCUGCUUCAGCACUUGAUAGAGCCACUACAUUUUGUUUUUUGCUUCUCCAUGUAACCAAGUUCCCUCCUACCAGAGUGAAGUAACCAGAUGUAGACUUUCUGCUAUCUUUGUCUCCUGCCCAGUCUGCAUCAGUGUAAGCCAUGAGAUUCAGGUUACCAUUAUUCCCAAACAAUAAUCCUCGAUUACUUGUUCCCUUCAGAUAUCGGAGAAUUCUCAUUACAGCUUCCAUGUGUUGGACUUGUGGACAAUGCAUGAAUCUACUUACGACGCCUACCGCAUAUGAGAUGUCAAGGCGAGUGUGAGCGAGAUAUAUGAGUUUUCCCACAAGUUUCUGAUAUUGUUCUUUUUCUGCCAUUUCUCCUCCCAGUUCAGUUUGUAACCCAUGAUUGACUGUUAUUGGAGUUUCUGCUGGCUUGCAGUCAAUCAUUCCAGUUUCUGCCAAAAGAUCAAGAAUAUAUUUUUUCUGGUUAAUGAAGAUCCCUUUCCUUGAUCUUAGGACUUCAAUUUUUUUUUUUUUAUAUUAAAUAUAAACCUCGACUUAAGGAUAGUGUGUGAUUGAUGUGAGGCUGUUAAGUACAAGGGCUCCUUUGACUGUUUCGCCCAGAUUGUGCAAGCAUCUUCCGUGCUGUUGCUGGUGCCGGUGUGUGGCCGGGUACCACAAGCUCCAAGUCCUGAUUUAUAUAUGAAUUCUUUUAUGAGUUUUGACAUGAUUUACUAUGUGGUUUAAGACGAGUUCUGAUUUAUAUAUCAUUAUACAUCAUAUUUGUGGGUUGUGGCUUCAGUUUGUUAUUUAAGUUGUGAAGCAAGAAACAGCACGAAAAUAGCUUUCAGAUGUGGGUAUUUUGUCAGACAUGUGUACAAGUUUUAAUGUUUUUAUCAGUUGUUUUAUGACAAAACUCCCAUGAUGUUUGCACAAAUGAAGUGUCCAACGCUCUUGCCUAAUUGUUUUAUGACAAAUUUACAAUGAAUUGAAUGAUCUUACGGAUUGCAUUGGGAUAAUUUUACAGAUCUUUUUCCCAUUUAUGUCUAAAGUUCUGGUUUUAUGUUGCUCAUGUGCUGAAUUUGGAUGAAUUAAUGAAUUAAUGAUCUACUAACUACACACACCAACAAAUGUAUACUGAUUUCCACCCUAAACAGAUCAACAGCCUACGGAUUUGUAUGCUACUGAUUUUAAUACACAUACAUAACCACUGUUUGUUUGCAACCAGAACUCAGACUCACUUUUGAUAUACUGUGCUUGCUGUUCUGAUAUGGCUGCAUAUUCUACUGUUGCGUGCUGUUCUGCUCAUAAAUGGUUGCUGCAGAUAUUUAUUCAUGGUUUACUCAUAGUUUGACCUAGGCUUUAAUUAUAAUUCAGUCUAACUAUACCAACCAUACUUCAAUACCAUAAUGAUAAUGAUCCAUUACUGCGAGAAUUGAAGGUGAAAGUUCUUCGGUUUUGUGGAACAUUAUGUUUAUUUUUAUGAUCUUAAUUUACCUUUACACGACUUAAUUAGUAGGAGUAGCAUAUGAUUGUCCAUAACAAUUGUAUUACAUUAGAAAUGGUAACAUUUGCCAUUAACUAAUAAUUGCAAUCUGGCACACUAUACUAACAAUUAGGAAUGUGUAAUGUUUAGCUCUUUUAUUUUAAAAGGCUUUAAUUUUAAUGCUAUUGCUUUGGUACAUUAUACUUUUUGAUACGUUAUAGUUUUUGCAUAUACUUUGACAUAUAUUGCUUUGUGUUGGAUUGUGUCCCUUUGGCUGUCAAAUUAGCUUGUUAGCUAUUGUUUCAUGAUCAGUAGGUACCAAAAAGGUGUGUCUGCCUACUGCUCUUGGUCUGUUGCUACUGUGUGCUGCUUGUAUGACUUCAUAUUUCUUAUUCAGGUAGGCUGGGUUUGUUCUAGUUUGUAGCUAAAUUCAGGUAGGCUGGUUUUGCGACGUAACGUCUCUAUUGCGUUGUACUUUUGUUCACUUUUGAUUUUGACCAUAUUUUGCGAAUUUCAUACUUAAUUUUGUUCACUUUUGUGAUUUUGCGUUUUAUUUCAGUUUUAUGAUACACAAACAAUCCAUUUCCGCCAUUAUGCAGCCUAACACUCCAGCAGCACCAAGUGAGCUACACGACGAUAACCUGCACAAAGGACCACUACCUGUAAGAUGUCCCACAGCAAAAUAGACCUGCACCAAAGAGAAGCAUAUACACUAGAAACACAUGCCAAAAACAAACCAAACACAGGCUGAACCCCCCAAUGUGGACGUAGUUUAAAGUUUUGCACUGAUGCUUGUCUGAGGAGAUACCUGGAAGCAAGGAAUUGGAAUGUUGACAAGGCAAAGAAAAUGACAGAAAGAGACGCUAAAAUAGAGGGAUACAUACAAACCCAAGGAAAUUCGCUGGAUGCGGCUGUUGAGGUGUCAACAAGAGCAUGCUGAUGGGCUGCCUACUAUUGCUUGGUCCAGAAGAGCAAGAACAAUGGUUCUGCGUGCAAGGUUGAUAUUCCUGUUGUUGCUUUGUUUGUUGAGGCCUAGUGUUCGGUGCUGUUUGUUUUGGGGUAUACUGACACUUUGUUGUAUGUCGUAUCAAGGAUGAAACUUUUGUCUCUAAAAGUUUUUGGUGAUGUUGUUUGCCUAGUCUUUGUGAGGAGGAGGCGGCUGGAAUUUUUUUGACGAUGGAGGUUGAUGCAGAGGUUUUAAGCUUGUUGGUAGAUCGGAAGAAUUGUUGCAAGCGUCUAAAUGAAAGUGAAAGUCGAUUUUUUCUAGUGUUAAUGUACUAUAUAACAAUGAUUGCCGAGAGUUGUAUAGAUUUAUAAAAGACAUACUUUUGUAAUCUAUUAUAUUUAAUAAAAAAAUAAAUUCUUGUUUAUUCUAA